ACAACAGGCCCCGCCCACUCCCCGCCCUCGCUUAAGCCCUGCGGUAGCAGAGGGUCUGUUCAGAGUCUCGGGUCUCCGUGCUGUUUUAAAGACAGAGAGGCUCCUAGUACGCUUGCGCGGCGUCGUGGGCCGGGUUCCCCUGCAGACCAGACUUGGUACGGCCGAGCGGUUGGUGCAAUCUGCAGCUGCAGCCCUGGGGCGCGCUUUUCAAAUCGGCCGUGCCUUGCACCGAGAUGGAGGGGCAGCUGCUGAGGGGUCUCGCCGCGCAGCAGGACUGCAGCAUCCGAGAGAAAAUAGACUUAGAGAUCCGCAUGCGAGAAGGAAUAUGGAAGCUGCUCUCGCUGAGUACGAAAAAAGACCAAGUUUUGCAUGCAGUUAAGAACCUCAUGGUGUGCAGUGCUCGGAUCCAGGCGUACACGGCAGAGCUGCAGAAGUCAAAAGAAGAGAUUGCAAAUCAAACCGGAGCACGGUUAGUGCUGGAUUCGAGUUCUGAAAAUAAAGAAGGAGAAUCCUGCAGAGGAAAGAUCGCCCUGUCAGAUAUCCGAAUACCAUUAAUGUGGAAAGACUCCGAUCACUUCAGUAAUAAAGAAUGCACACAGCGCUUCGCCAUCUUUUGCUUAUUCAGGAUGGGAGCUCAGGUGUUUGACACGGACAUGGUGAUUGUGGACCAGACAGUCACAGAUAUAUGUUUCGAAAAUGUCACCAUCUUCAACGAGGCAGGACCGGACUUCCAGAUAAAGAUAGAAGUCUACAGCUGCAGCGCAGAGGAGUCCUCCCUAACCAACACCCCGAGGAAGCUGGCUAAGAAGCUGAAGACGUCCAUCAGCAAAGCCACGGGAAGGAAAAUCAGCGCAGCGCUCCAGGAAGAGAGCCCAGAGGCGUGCUUGCUCGCUGGUUCUGUGGCAGGUGCAAAGUACCAUUUGCUGGCUCAUACCACCCUGACCUUGGAAAAUGCUGGAGACUGCUUUAAGACCCAUAACCUGUCUGUUCACGGAGAUGAGGAGUGUUCCUUUUGGCUUCCCUUGUAUGGCAACGUGUGCUGCCGGCUGGUGGCCCAGCCAGCUUGCAUGGCUGCAGAUGCAUUUGCAGGAUUCCUUAAUGAACAGCAAACAGGAAAAGGUCUGGUUGGCUGGAGAAGGCUGUACUGUGCUCUGAGAGGGGGUAAACUCCGCUGCUUUUAUGGUCCGGAAGAAAUUGAAGCUAAAGUGGAGCCGGCUCUGGUGGUUCCUAUUGACAAGGAAACCAGAAUUCAGGCCGUGGAAAAGGAUUCAAAGAAAAUGCACUGUUUCUCUGUCCUCAGCACAGCCGCUGGGCGGGCGGUGAGUCACAUCUUUGCGGCUGACAGCCUAGCAGACUUUCAGGAGUGGAUGGGCGCCUUCCGGCAACAUUUCUUUGAUCUCAGCCAAUGGAAGCAUUGUUGUGAAGAACUUAUGAGAAUUGAGAUUAUGUCACCACGAAAACCACCUUUGUUCCUGGCAAAGGAGGCGACCUCAGUGUAUUAUGAUAUGAGCAUCGAUUCACCCGUGAAACUGGAAAGUGUAACAGACAUAAUACAAAAGAAAAUCGGAGAGACCAACCGACAGUUCCUCAUUGGUCGGGAUGACCAAUCCGCAGCACCCCCGUGGGCCGCUGUCUUUGAUGGCAAUCACGAAAUGGUCAUAGAGAAGAAAGUGUUGUCCCCAAUAGGCGAACCGGCUCCGGAUGGAAAAAGAAAAAAGAGGCGAGCCCCACUCCCUCCUACCGAUCAGCCGCCCUUCUGCAUAAAAACCCAGGGUAGAGCGAAUCAGUCCAAGGACAGCGCAACCCAGGCUGGGGUCUCUGGAGCCUCAUCUUCGCCUUCGGAUCCCAGACUGUCGCCGCCUACGCAUCAUCUCCAGAAACCUGUGGCAGCCCCUCGCAAACUUCUCCCUGCCAGGAAGAACAGUUCAGCGGACAUUGGGCACACGGACACUAAAACCAGCCUUGAUGCGAAGCCAGUGCCAGUUCCAAGGCAGAAAUCCAUCAGAGACAUUCUGGACCCACGAUCUUGGCUCCAAGCACAAGUAUAGGAAGCCGGGACUAUGUAAAUCCAGCUGUAAGGCUCUGGUCAGAGGCAUUCUAUGGGUAAUGUUAUGUAAUUGUAUAGGUAAAGGCCAGAGCAGUUUCCAGAAGCCAUUAAUAAGCUGUUAGGUACAGAAAAGCACCUUUAAGUAGAGAAUUAGAUUUCUCCUUUCCAGAAUAGAAAUGAUCCUCCCCUCCCCGGAGCAAAAGAGGCAGUUUCUAGACAGUAGCCUACUUUUUGGAAGGGUUAAUUUACUCCUAAUUUAGUAGCAGGCAGUGAACAGACAGAAGGCAGAGGAAAGCAUUGUUUUUUUGUUUUUUGUUUUUUUUUUUUGAGAGUGAGUUUAGUAAUGUAGAAUGUGUUCAAUACAAGCCGUAUUCUCAUUGUGAGAAUUGUAAUACUUAAUAGAAUAUUUCAGAGUUUUUGUUUAAACCACAAAUUACAGAAUCCACCCAAGAAAAUGUUUCCCCUCCGCUUCCUGGAAUUGGCAUCUAAGGGUCCUCUGGCUUCUCCUCUGUUGUUUAACUCAAUGGUCUCUAGGGUUGAUCUUUUCAAUUCCUGGUAUAAAGUCUUCGAAUAUUAAAAACUCUUUGUCUUUAAAGGGAAUUUGUAAUCUGCUAUUCAAAUUCAUUUCCUUGAUGAGCCCUGAAAUCCUGUGGACUUGGCUGCUCAUCAGCAAGGAGCAUGCUUCUUGGUGAGUGAAGUGGCAAUGAGAUGUCCCCCCAUUGCUGGGCUUCCUGUAUGAUGUUAAUCUCCAUCAUGGCCUCUGGAGUUCAGGGAGACAAGUAGCCAAUUAAUGCCUUUAAAUUUUUACUUAAUACUUAUUUUAAAAGCAGAUGGCAGAUUCAAAAUUUAUCAGGAAGGUUUGACCGCAGUAAUUUUCAGAAUUAAUCCUUUUUCAAUUUUUUAAUUAGAUUUUCUUUUUUUUGAGUGAGGGCUGAUGUCGGUUAUUGAUAUUGCCCGUUAAAAGUCAUAUUCAUUCAGUAAUCACAUUGGCGUCAUUUCCAUAGAAGGUAAUUUCCAUGGCAACUAAUCACAGUGACCCAAACAGGAUUAUAAAUUGAAUAGGGGGGAUAACUAGCAAGAGAAUGAAUAUCUUAAGUGGACAAAAAGAAAAACCCACUUUUUAUAAUAACCCCUUUUGUAAACAAGAACAGCGGAACGGUUUUAAAAUGUCAUCAUAAUUUCCAAGCAAAACUUCCCAGAGGGUAUUAAAACAGUCCUGAACAGACCAGGACCUCCCAAGCCCUAACGGGCACCACAAACCAUCACACUGAAGGAAGGAGGCUCCAGGCUGCUGAGCUCUGUCCAUCUGGAUGGGAACUACAUCUGUGUAAAGUGGCCAACAAAGGUAUUGAUCGGACCAACCCAUUCAUCGCUUUUAGGGGAUAGUUUGUCUGUUUUGUCUUGUUUUUGUUUCUCAUUUCUGCACAGUGCUCCUCUAACUAACAGGUAAUAUGUACACUAUUGCUUGCCCAGGACCCCCAGUAAAAAAGGGGAACCCGAGAGCAGCGACAAAGGGCCCUCUGUGAAGGCAGAAGGCAGAAGCUGUGUGGAGACUCCUACAGCCAUGGAAACUUGAAGAAUAGGUGGCCGUGGUUUUGUUUUUGUUUUAAUCUAACAGGGUCUCAAAAGUUUUGGUGGUAAUUGCCAUUUCUUUCUUUUUAAUACUUACUUUAUGUAUUUAAGUACACCAUAGCUGUCUUCAGACACACCAGAAGAGGGCAUCAGAUCCCAUUACAGAUGGUCAUGAGCCACCAUGUGGUUGUUGGGAACUGAACUCAGCACCUCUGGAAGAGCAAGUCCUGAGCCAUCUCUCCAGCCCCAGUAAAGUUGUAUUUUUUGCUUGAAAAUGCCUCUGUUAGCCCUCACCGAUAUCUUCAACAAUGCCCAUGAACUUUUGAUGCAACCUCUUUUUUUUUUUUUUUUUUUUUAAUUAAAAGAUGCUGCUGGCAAAAUUGCUUCUGAUUCCUGGCACCCAAGUGCCCCCGUCCCUCCCCGCUGUGCCCCUCACUUACUGUGUUCCUCUAUUGCAGGCCGGGAUUUAAAUUCACCAGCCACUUCUGAUUUCGUGUGCAAGUUGCCGCUGGAAGAAUUUAGGGUGUGUGUGUGUGUGUGUGUGUGUGUGUGUGUGUGUGUGUGUAUGUAUGUAUGUGUUCCUGGAGACACUCUGGAGGAGUUGUGUUCUCAGAGGGCAGCUUUGCACCAGGUCUGAAACCAGCCUCCUUCCCAGAGCCUCAUGAAGUACUAUAAAGAGAGGUACCACCACACUGGAAAGCAUAGCUUCUUUCUCAAGGACAAGCUAUCUGCAAACCCGGGUUAUGGUUCCAUGGAGAAGAGUUGUAGAAGAGUGAGGACCUGCGUCAGGAUCCCCAGCCCAUGUCAAAGCUGGAUGUGGCCCAACAGAUCUGUAGCCUUGGCAGUAGCAGCAGGAUUACCGCAGCUUGCUUAACCACCAGCCUAGCCCUUCUGCUCUGUCUUCCACGUGCGUGCUCCUGAACCCACGUGCAUGUAUGUAUACUGCGCGCGCAUAUGUGCACACAUGCACGCACGCACAUACACAAAGAAUAAUAAGAAAUAAAAACUUAAAGCUAUUUCACUUCAGUGCCCAGUAAGGUGUAUACACGUGUAUCUGUGAGUGCAAGUACCCGCAGAGGCCAGAAGGGGGCGUCCAAUUCCCAGGGGCUGAAGUUAUAGUGAGCCACCAUGAUGGUGCUGGGAAUUAAACUUGGAUCCUCUGAAAGAACUUGUGUUUUGUGUUGCUUUUAGUUAUGAAGGGCUCAUAAGGGAAGGCACCAGAGUCUCGAGUGUUAGGAGUAGCCCAUGGUUUCAUUCCCCACUUAAGUCAGUCCCAGUGACAUGUGGGACUGCAAGCCAUGGCUGUGGCUGGAGCGAUUCCUUCAGCCGCAUUCCCCCUCCCUGCUUCUCAGUGGAAGGCAGAGCUUGCUCUCCGUUGCCCUCCACAUCCGCUCUUUCCAAAGAUCAAGAGUUUCCUUUGCCAGUCUCAAUGCCGAUUCUUACCCACCCAUAAGAGAGAGAGAGCAAGCAGGAGCUGCAGAUGCGCAGUUACUAUAACGACCGUUACCUGGGUUAUAGAAAAAGGAGCCUGUCUUUCAACUCCUGGCUGUUCAACCCGGCCACGUUCAGUGAAAUCUUGAAAUGGAUUGUAGGAAAUUCACAAUUGCAAAACGACAAAAGAUUAGAGUUUGUGUGUUAAGAGCAGGAGGGGGUGGAGGGAGAGUUGAGGGGCGGGGUCCAGGAGGGUGACUGACAGCCCUGAGCUUUCUCAUGCUCAGCACAUCUUACUAGCAUACAGUAUGCAUCCAUCAUUCUCCACCAGCUGGCCGUCAGCUGGUCAACUUAAGCCUGUUAAGACCGGGAUCAUAUUAAAUGGUACCAAAAAGGCCAUACCCAGCAUGUAAUCAACUCUGUAAAAUUCCCAAGAAAGCAAUGCUCAAUAAAUGAUUUCUACUUUGGCUAUGAUUAGUGCCCCAACCUCAACCAUUGUCACCUACACAAGACAGCCGAUAAACUGUGUAGGAAACUUACAACUUAAGGUUGGUGGGGAGUUAGCGGCCAUGUAUAAUGGCACCAUCAGUUCAGAUAUUCGGUAAUCUGGGCAUCUCCCUGAUAGAACCAAAAUCUUCUGUGUGAAGCACCCUCUGCCAGCUGGCCAUCAGCCGCUCAACUAAAGCCCUUUAAGGACCGGAUCAUAUAAAAUGGUAUCAGAAAGGCCAGCUUGGAAUUGAGUCUCGGUAUCUUUGACAAUGUCUUUGAAACAUAUUUUUACUAUUGAAAGGUAAAGCGAAAGUCGCUGGUACCCAGAACUGACACGAGAAAUGUGCCAGAUGGAGAGGGAGGCGUAGACAGUGAUGGAGAUUUUAACAGGAUUUCAUGGGAGUGGUGGAGGGGUGACUGCCUAGCACCUAACCAUUGGUUAUCCGUUAAGUCGGAAAUGUAUUCUACCGGAGAGUGCUCAUGUUUAUUUUGUUAUGAUUCGUGUGUCUGUAUGCACUGCGUGCCUAAGUGCAUGCAUGCAGUGCUCACGGGGACCAGAAGAGGGCUUCAGUUCAUCUCCUGGGUGCUGGGAACUGAAUUUGGGACUUCCGUAAGAGCAGCAAAUGCUUUUAAUUGCUGAGCAAGUCAUCUCUUCAGCCCCUGGAGUAGUAAACUUCCUAAAUGAGCAUUAGCCAAAAGAACCUCUCUAGAAAGCAAGACUUUUUCUGUGCAGUCGUCCAAAGGUUUGUUUUGCUCUCCUAACUCGGCUCUUAUUUGAGAUCAUUGUAAAAUAAUUAUAAAGUCUGAACAGAAUGUUAGCAUCUUGGUACACUUGGUUGUUGAGGGGUCUUUCCAUGGAGAAAAUUUAAGUCCUUAAUUAUAGUUCUUAGGAGCUCCUCGGGCAAACAAUGGACCUCAAAAAUAAUCCAAUUUCUCUCAUGGGCAGAACCCACACCCUAGCCCAGGAUUAGCCAGCCUCCGACCGACUGACAUGUUCUUUGCUCUGGUUUUAUGUGUGGUGUGUGUGUGCACGUGUUUAUGUGUGUCCACAUGUGUGUGCAUGAGUGUGGCUGGAGAUUGAUGUCAGGGGUCCUCCUCAGUCACUCUCCACCUCACUCUUCAAAAAGCAUGCUCUUUCGUGGAACCUGAAGCUCACCAAUUCAGUAGCCUGGCUGACCAGCAGGCUCCGGGGCUUCUCCUGUCUGCAGUGGGAAGCACUAGGCUAGGAUUACAGGUAGGGACAGUCACAUGCAGCUUCUAUGUGGCUUCCAGGAGUCAAACUCUGGUCCUCGUGCUUCAGUGACAGGGAGUUUACCGACUGAGCCAUCUUUGGUUUAUUUGAAGAUUAAUUUUUUUAAAUAGACAUUUCAGCCCCGUUUCUGGUAAAUUUCAGUUCUAAGAGGUUUUCUUGCCCGUCUAGAAUUUAUUUUAUUGAAACCAGCAACACUUUCCAUUGACAGCCCUUGUCUCUCUUGACUGGCUGGCUUUCUAGGGCAAUGUUUUCAAAAUAGUAGUCAUCUUAGUUAGGAUUACUAUCGCUGCGAUGGAACACCAUGACCAAAAGCAACUUGGGGGGUUGGGGGGGGCGGGGAAGAGAAGGUUUAUUCUCUCACAGCUCCAUUAAAAGCAGUGAAGGCAGGAACCUGGAGGCUGGAGCUGAUGCAGAGGCCAUGAAGGGUUUUGCUUUCUGGCUUGCUCCUCAUGGCUUGCUCAGCCUGCUUUCUUAUAGAAGACAGGACCACCAGCUCAGGAUAGACCUCACCCACACUGGGCUGGGCUCUACCAAAGGAAUCACUAAUUGAGCAAAUGAGUGCCUGGAGCCCAACCUAAUGGAGGCAUUUUCACAUUGAGGCUCCCUCCUCUCUGCCAACUCUGGCCCUGAUCAGUAUCUUUGCCUUUGCCGUGGGGGAGGGGGGAGGGAAGGAGAGAGAGAGAGAGAGAGAGAGAGAGAGAGAGAGAGAGAGAGAGAGAGAGAGAGAGAGAAUAACAAAUAUAACAAACCAUUAUGACAUUCAACAGUGAUAUUUCAGAUACUCAGCUAGCUAAUCCACCCACUGAUAGGGUGAACUUUGAAUUGAAUGCUUUGAAGACUAAAGUCAAGUAAAUCUUGAUACAAAUCAAAGGUUACAGAAAUCUCAUUUGACAAGAGACACGGGCAGGAAUGCUAAAAUUAAGGCUGUUUGGGGGGAGAGAUGCUCACUCCAUGGCAUACUUAAUGAAGAGUGACAGAUCAAACUGCCUCCAGGUAAGAAGCAGAAACGGGUCUUUAUUACCGCACCUUUUACUAUUCUGAAACUCAUGGUGUUCUGCCCACAGGAGCACCCAUUUACUCAUUUUUGUGGUAACUCAGAUUAUUUGAUCAGUUUAUCUCAAGGCCUGCUCAGCCCCCCCCCCCAAACUUCCUGUGUGUGUUGGAUAGGCACUGAGAACACUCAGUUUGGUUUUCAACGUGAAUCAAGUGAAUGAGAGUCACUCCGUAUUUCAUUUCACGGAAGCCUUCCUAGAAGUGGAGGUGAAAACAGCACUGAGUACUUACUUAGGUGAAGGAGAACUGCAGGGCCAAGCACUCCAGAGACAGAGGCAGGUGGGCCUCUGUGAGUUCGAAUCCAGCCUGGUCUACACAGUGAAUUCCAAGACAGGCAGAGUUAUAUAGUGAGACCCUGUCUAUAAGUAAAAUAAGAAAGGAGAGUUGCGUGAGCUGGUAUACCUGCAACUCUAGCACUCAGGAGACCGAGACAGGAGGAUUACUGUAUGUUCAAGGCUAGCCUGCUCUACAGAGUGAGUUCCAGGACAGCCAGGGCUACAUAGAGAAACCCUGUCUCGAAAAACCAAAAAAUCAAAGAGGCUAGUGCAUGGGUUCCUAACAUAACACUGUACUUUGUUUUCUUUCAGUAUCCUCUGUUGCCAUCUCUGAAUGUGACUCAUUUGAGAAUUCGACUCGUUUUUUUAAAUGUUUGGAGUUUUUUUUUUCUCCUGCUAGCCCCCGCCCCCCAUCCCUGUUACUACUUUCUAUAUAAUAUUAUAUCAGAGGAUAGGGUUUUUUUGUGACCUGACUCCUUCUUACGUAUUGAGAUUUGGUUUGUGGCUUAGAGUGUGAUCUCUCUUUUUAUGUGUUCCAAGCUCACUUGAAAAAAAAAAAAAGAGUCCAGCCCGGCAGUGGUGGCACACGCCUUUAAUCCCAGCAUUUGGGAGGCAGAGGCAGGUGAAUUUGUGAGUUCGAGGCCAGCCUGGUCUACAGAGUGAGUUCCAGGACAGCCAGGGCUACACAGAGAAACCCUGUCUUGAAAAACAAAAACAAACAAAAAGAAAAAAGAAAAGAAAAAGAGUCUAUUCUGCUGUUCUCACAGGGGUGGAAAAUGUUCUGUAAUUAUCAGUAAGAUCCAGUUUGUAAUCUCCUGUAAGCCUACUGAAUUUUACCCAGGCACUUAGCCUGAUACUGGGGUGGGGCUGGUGUUAAAAUCCUAACUACAUCUAUGGCUUUGCUUAUUUCUUCCUUAUAACCCUAUCCGUUUCCAUGUCAAAUAUUUUGAAAGUCGUGAGUAUUUAGGGAUUUGGGGGCUGGGGGGAGUUUCUGGAUAAAUUGAUCUUAUUCUGGUUCUGAAAUGACCUUCCUUCUUCCCAGUCCCUCGUCUUUGCCUUAGGUUUCAUUUCGUCUGCAUCUGUGCAGUUUUACCCACUUUCUUUUGGUUAGCGUUUCUAUGAUGUAUCCUGUUUCUUCUUUUCCCGUUAACUCUAUUUAUUCUUUACAUCUAAAGCAAGUUGGUUUUUUUUUUUAUGGCAUUAGUAAGCUCAUGCUACUUCAUAUAGUCUGAAGCCUGCUUUUCAAAGAUUUCUUUCACUUUUACUUAUCUAUAGGUGUAUCUAUAGGUGUGCGUAUCUCUGUGUGUAUGUGGGGGUGUGUGGGUACCCAUGGAGACCAGAAGAGGGUGUCAGCUCCCCUGGAGCAGGAGUAACAAACUAUUGUAAGCUCUCCUACUCAGUGCUGGGAACCAAACUUGGGUCCUUUACAAGAGCAGUAAGAAUUCUUAACCUCCGAGCCAUCUUGUUCAGCCACUGGGGUCAGCUUUCAAAUUAGGCUGUUUCAAUCUGUCGAUUGAUUUGCUAUAUAGCUCUAACUAGACUAUAACUUGCUCUUUUAGACCAGGCUAACCUUGAAGCUCUGCCAGACCUCUCUCCGGAUUGUUGAGAUUAUAGGUGUGAGCUACCAGUCCCGGCUGUUCAAAGCCUUUGUGUUCACAUGAUAGCCCGUGUGACUAGGUUUAAAUCCAUCAUAUCACUAUCAGAUUCCUUUUGCUCUCUGCCUUCCCCCCACUCUGCUUUCCUGAGAAUUAACCAAGUUGUUGGAAUUAUUCAGUGAAUCACCUUUAUGAUGUUUAAGCUGAAACUUUGUGCUGUAAUAGCUCACCUGGGUAUAUAUAUAAUGAAAGUCAUUUCAAUACAUAAACAGUAAAGUGUGUCUGCUCUAUUACAGCCUCAUAAACUGGUCAGAAGAAGGACACUUUUUUUAUUAUGCCCAACACAUGAUACAGUUGUGCAUCAUACGAUACAAAGUCGCAUGAUGUAUGGAGCACCAAUUCCACAGCACAUGAGUGAGAAGCGAGGGUUUAGACAUGCGGUAACCAUGGGACACACUGUGACACACUCUGUGUUCCACGGCAAGAUGUUUUCUAGCCUUUGUUUUGUUUAUUUUUGCUCAUAAUCACACAGCUGGUCCAGGAGGAAGCCAGGAUGGCCCCUCCCUCUAAAGCCAGGGUGUCUGCCAUUCGGCCAGUAAUUUGAAGUCAGGGUUACAAUGUUGUAAGGACCCCAUUUGAGAAUGUAAGUUCUUGUUAUUGCUUUUAUUGUUACUGUUUUCCCUGAGAAACCUGUCUGCAGCCGCUUAAGCAUGGGGAAGUCCGUUGCCUUUUUAAUCCUCUGCGAUUUGGAGAAUCGCCAUAUCUCAGAAGCUCAGGGAGGAGCCCCUGGUUCCUGCAAAUUCAUUGGUCAAUAAGAAACACAGCAUUUACUGUUGUAAAUAUUCCUCCAUUAGAUGUUAUAUUUAACUCUGUCAUCUUUCAGGGUUUCUGGCUUUUAAAUUCCCUACCCCCAAACUUUUAUUACCAAGAUGUAAUUUAUUCAUAAAUUUUAAAAUGUCUGAUUUUUUUUAUUUUUAUGUAUUAUUGCGUUCCUUUCUUGACAAGAAGUUAUCAGACUAAAUAAUCAGACUUGGGACUUUGGAUCAUUUCAGUUCGUGUGAAUAUAACUUUACAAGUGACUAUCAAAGUGGGCCUUGACUUUUGCUGGUGAUGGUGGUGGGUGUGACCCUUUGACAAUAUGUGUAAGCAAAAUGAUAUAACAGGAAUGCUAAAAAGAUACCCUGCUUCAUCACCGGGGUGACAUUUGUCCUUAGGGUAGGGAGGAGAGCAGAGGACACAAGUGUUGGUGGCUUAGUGGGCACCAGACUUUCCUACUGGCACUAUGUUUCUUAACAGAACAUUUAAA